UUAACUGGGGUAGUUGUUUCAAAAAAAUUGAAAUUUUUUCACAGUUUUAAAUAAAUGGUCUAAGUUCUUUUAUAUAAGGAAAAUUAGUGUUAGUUACUUUAGGGAUAACAGCGUUAUAUUUUUGGAGAGAUCUUAUCUAUAAAAAUGAUUGCGACCUCGAUGUUGAAUUAAAAUUACUUUAUAAAGUAGAAUAUAUAAAAGUAGGUUUGUUCAACCUUUAAAUUUUUACAUGAUCAGAGUUCAGACCGGA
rnacentral:rRNA from 1 species